GACGAACGCUGGCGGCGUGCUUAACACAUGCAAGUCGAACGGAAAGGCCCUGCUUUUGUGGGGUGCUCGAGUGGCGAACGGGUGAGUAACACGUGAGUAACCUGCCCUUGACUUUGGGAUAACUUCAGGAAACUGGGGCUAAUACCGGAUAGGAGCUCCUGCUGCAUGGUGGGGGUUGGAAAGUUUCGGCGGUUGGGGAUGGACUCGCGGCUUAUGAGCUUGUUGGUGGGGUAGUGGCUUACCAAGGCUUUGACGGGUAGCCGGCCUGAGAGGGUGACCGGCCACAUUGGGACUGAGAUGCGGCCCAGGCUCCUACGGGAGGCAGGGGUGGGAAAUAUUGCACAAAGGGCGGAAGCGUGAUGCAGAGACGCCGCGUGCGGGAUGACGGCUUUCGGGUUGGAAACCUCUUUCGCCUGUGACGAGGCGUGAGGGAGGGAAAUGGGUAAAGAAGCACGGGCUAACUACGG
rnacentral:rRNA from 1 species